UCUUUGAGAGCGGCGCACGGGUGCGGAACACGUGUGCAACCUACCUUUAUCAGGGGGAUAGCCUUUCGAAAGGAAGAUUAAUACCCCAUAAUAUAUCAGAUGGCAUCAUUUGAUAUUGAAAACUCCGGUGGAUAGAGAUGGGCACGCGCAAGAUUAGAUAGUUGGUGAGGUAACGGCUCACCAAGUCAGUGAUCUUUAGGGGGCCUGAGAGGGUGAUCCCCCACACUGGUACCGAGACACGGACCAGACUCCUACGGGAGGCAGCAGUGAGGAAUAUUGGACAAUGGGUGAGAGCCUGAUCCAGCCAUCCCGCGUGAAGGACGACGGCCCUAUGGGUUGUAAACUUCUUUUGUAUAGGGAUAAACCCAGAUACGUGUAUCUGGCUGAAGGUACUAUACGAAUAAGCACCGGCUAACUCCGUGCCAGCAGCCGC
rnacentral:rRNA from 1 species